UACGUAGGGUGCAAGCGUUAUUCGGAAUUACUGGGCGUAAAGCGUGCGCAGGCGGUUUUGUAAGGCAGAUGUGAAAUGCCCGGGCUUAACCUGGGAACUGCAUUUGUGACUGCAUGGCUAGAGUUUGGCAGAGGGGGGUAGAAUUCCACGUGUAGCAGUGAAAUGCGUAGAUAUGUGGAGGAACACCGAUGGCGAAGGCAGCCCCCUGGGUCAAGACUGACGCUCAUGCACGAAAGCGUGGGGAGCAAACAGG
rnacentral:rRNA from 1 species